UACGAGGGGGGCGAGCGUUGUUCGGAAUUAUUGGGCGUAAAGGGCGCGUAGGCGGGCCAUCAAGUCAGGGGUGAAAUCCCACGGCUCAACCGUGGAAGUGCCUUUGAUACUGGUGGCCUCGAGGGAGGUAGGGGCGUGCGGAACUCGGGGUGGAGCGGUGAAAUGCGUAGAUAUCCUGAGGAACACCGGUGGCGAAAGCGGCGCGCUGGAUCUCUUCUGACGCUGAGGCGCGAAAGCCAGGGGAGCAAACGGG
rnacentral:rRNA from 1 species